UCAUUCAUUCGAGUUUCAACCGUGUUCGAGUAAACAACGUGUCGUCGGAAAAAAGUGCGUGAGGUAUUGUGGCGAAUAAACGCGCUCUCGCUCUCUCUCUCUAGCCUGUGUGUGAGGUGUUGUGGAACUCAAAUAGGAUCCGAAAAAAGAAGUGUGGGAGAGAGACUCUCAUGGUGGAGAGCAAAACGUAACAAACAACGCUACAAAGUGAAAAAGAAGAAGAAAAAAUAUUAAACGAAAAUUCAUCGGUUCGUGUGCGUGCGUACGUAUGAGUGAAUGUGUGUGACAACAUCGACGGCUGCAUUGUUGUUGGCUAACACAAACUACAAAUCAGACUUUUUCUAAAAAUGCUGACAUAUCAACAACUACUUGACAACCAAAUGUUAACCCACAAUCGUAUGUAUAAUGACAAAUUAAGCUAAACAAAAGAAAGAACCAAAAACAAAAAAGAAGCUUCCGAAAUCAUGACCAAUUUACUAAAAACUUAACAACAAUUUUACCAACAAAACUUAGUUUGUAAACAACCAACAACUCCACAAACCCAAAAAAAAACCUGAGCUGCUCUUCAAUCCAUCGAGAAAAAAACAAAACCUAAGCUAACAACAACAAAAAUUGCACAAAAUUCCCGCUGUCUGUCUCUCUUUUGUAAGCUGCUGUGGUUGAUUGUUGGUAUUUUCUUGUCUCUCGCUCUCUGGUGUCUUGUCACUCUGUGAGUCUCUCUUUGUGCAUCAUCCGUAUGUGUGUAAUAUUGUGUGUGCAAUCCCCAAGUUAAUUAAAUUUUUUACUGGAUACAACAACACCAACACCCGACAUUGUUCCCCCCCAACUCAAACCAGGCUCAUUCAUUGGCAGUGUUUAGUGUUUUGUUGGAGAAGAAGAGAAAAGAUAGCAACAAAGCAAAAAAAAA
rnacentral:sRNA from 1 species